GCACAUAAUGUUGUAACACAAACAGCGACCAACUUCGACAAACCAGAGACCACCGUAUCAAUGACAUACAGCCAAUAAACAACUCUAUAACAGCGACCAUAACAGCAAACCCGUCAAUAACAAACGGGUAACACAAAUGGCGUCCAACCUUAGCAAUAACACUCGAUAAAGCUGACAACUUCAACAACAUUAGGACAACCAGUGAAAACCCGUUACAACAACCAAACAGUGUCCAUCCUCAACCAAACGACGACAAAAUGCGUGCAACAGUAACAACAACAGUCUUCAACGACUAAAACCUACAGACAUCCCAUUUACUAUUUUACCCUCGAGGAUGGUCGUUCAUGGCUAAGGAGCAAAAAAAUUUCAUCUUUUUUCAGUUUCUGAUUCACCAAUUCGAGAAAAAAAAUUGACUUACCCCUUUGACCAACACAACCAACGCCUCUUUUUCUUAUAUUGUCUACUGAUUUUUGAAGUAUGAAGACUAUUGCUGAUUUUCUUCUUACUGUGGAAUUCAAAAACCCCUCAAAAAUUCAACUCAAACCUCCCUUUUGAAAUCCGAAAACCCUAAUUUGCCCCUCCCAAUUUCGCUUAUAAAUAGAUAGCAAGGGACAAGGGAGAGGAGGAGGAAAUUCUGGGGAAAUUUUUGAAGAUUCUGGGGGUGUAUGCCCCUAAUCUUACGUAACCAGAAUUUUCAAAAAGAAACUCUAUUGAAAACUCAAUCCGAUAAGAAAUUGAAAUUUCGAUGGGUCGAUAUUGAAAUUUCAGUGGAAGCAAUUUAAAUUCCGGUGGAAUUUUGUUCGACUAAAAGCUCAUUGUCCCCAUUUGUUGCCCUAACAAAGCUAGACAGUAAUCCUUAUGUUCUUUUGGCAUGAACCUCCGCACGAUGAGUCCAAAUGGACUUCCCACUUGCAUAUCCGUCGAGUCAAACUCCAUUUUAAGGUUUCAAAAUGAACCAAAGAACAAGAAACAAGGAUGGUAUACACCUGUAUACAGCAGAUAUAUGGGUCGUCCAAGUCAAAGGCGGAUAAUAUAUGUCAAAGUGCACAACGGAGCUGGGAGCGAAAAUACGAUAUUUACGGACUGAUAUAUAGUGUAUAUACACAAAACGGCAAGGAAAAGAGGUUGUGAUAUACAGCUUGUAUACGUGCAGGAAGAUGGACUUAAAGCCCAAUGGAUGAGCAGCCCAAUGUUGGGCCUAAAUGGGGCCCAACCUCAACUUUAAUCUUUUAUUGUCUUAUAAAUUGCAACUUAUAUGCUUGUCUAUUUGUAUUAGCACUAACUUUAAUUAAUUAAUCUAGUGUUUCCCCAUGUUGUUAAUA